GGUCAGUCAACAAGCACUUAUUCAAUGCCCCCUGUAAUCACACACUGUGCCAACUGCUGGGGAAACAAAGGAAGACAAAAACCAUCCAUUCACUCAGUAAUGGAAGAGAAAUCAUGAAAGUGAAUCCAUGUGUACAAAGUGUUUACAGUGUGCAUAGAAAGUGAUCCCAGAAGAGAAGGAGCUAGCAGCUGGCAGAAGAAGGAGGGAUGAUUGGACCUGUCUGAGAAGUGGCCCAGGAGCAUGAUUCUGGAACAUCUGCUGACUAUGCAUUGCACCUUGGAUUUAUGAAACUGAUGGAAGACUUUGAAAGACCAAAGGAGAUGCUCCAAAGUGUCCAGAUAGAGCCCUGGACUUGGACUCAAGAAAUUGGGCUCACAGACUGACUUCCUCUGACAGAUCUGAGGUGUGUGAUCACAAGCACAUCUUGCCUCACUUCAUAGCCCUGGUGCCCAGGACAGGGCUUGGCAUACAGCAGCCAUCAAUCUAAGCUCAAAAUGGGGUGAUGAGCCAGGUCUUGAAUAUCUCCCAGGCCUUUAGCAAGAAGAAUCCAGGUCACAGCAGAGGCUGAUUCCCAGAGCAUGGCCAGGGCCAGGCAUGCAGUCGGUGCUUGUGCAUGGCACGUUCCUUUGAAGCCGCGUGUGGGAGGCAGCUGAUGGCCGCUCAGGAGCAGAAAGUACCCGGCUUGGCUCGAGGAAGCAGCCUAAUGACUCCAGCGGAGCCCGGCAGAAACUGUUUCUCCUGUGCCAGGCCCGUAGUUCAUAUUGAUUCAUUCUUAGUCAUUGAAUUAUCUUUAAAAAAUUUAUGGUGCAUUUUUAUAGCAAUAGCCAAUCAUGCAUAUCAUUAGUGUAUACAGCGAGGAGCCAGGACACGAGCAGACUGACGGCUGCUCUAUUAUUGAUGCAGAUGAAUUGCCAAGUGGAAAGAGUUUAAGGAAUGCAUUAAAGGAGCAAACGUCAACCCGCCACCCGAGCACGCACGCCGGCAUGCGCGCCUGGGCACAUUAGCAGACGCUUACAACGUCUGAGCCCAAAAGGAAGGAGGAGACUUUGUGACCCUAUUGCAGGGACUCGGGGGAGAAGAAAAGCCUGGUAAAGGCUCCGCCCCACAGACCCUCUUCGUUGACUCAGAUUGCCAGGAGCAGAGGCGUCCCAGAAUGCAGAUACUUGGAGGGCAGCCAUGUUUGGGGUUCUGUCCUCACAGCCCGGCAGAGGUGUUGAAUAAGUCUUUGGGGGACUGGCCCAGGGCUAGACCAUCCCCCACCCUUGGCCAACCUUGGAACCUCCCACAAUGGGAGCAUCGCAGCUGGGGACCCCUCCUUCUGCUUGCCUUCUCACAAAGACCACCCACAGAAGAGGAAUGGUUCUGAAAACGUGUCAUCGUGGCCUCUUCAUUAGUCAUGUUUUAAAAGAAAUGUCUUUGUCACGAUCACCAUGGCAACCAUUGUUGGUCUUUGGGAAAUGCUAAGGCGAGAGAUAAAUGAUGACCUUUGGGGCCCAUAAAGAAGAUUCUCUCUCCUUUUAUUCAUAGACUCUUAAUUCUAUUGCCUAGAUGGGAGGGGGUCAGGAGCAGGAGGAGGAGGCAAGAAGGGAGGAGAUGGGGGCAAUUAACAGCAUGAUCUCAUCUUUGUUGGGCAGCUUCUUUGGGGGAAAGGCUAGCUCUGGUUCACUAGGAGGUCUGAUUCUCUACCCUAUGGGUUGGGAUAUUUCCCCAGGUUCUCCUUACAGUCUCAUUACCUAGCACAAUGAUGGACAGAACCUAUGGCACAUGUGCCAAAGAUAGCAUGCUGAGUGCUGGAGCUCAUUACUAGGAAGGCAGAGGGAUGGAGGGGGAGCUACUCCCUGCCCCCUCUCCAUCCCACCAGACAACAUUUUUUUCACUUCACCCACCUUUCUGCCCAGAAGCCCAAUGAGAUCACACAGGGGGUAAAGUGGUCAGCUCACAAGUGGCUCUACACUGGCUGAGGACAUUCCUCACUUCACCUGCUCCUCUGUCAGGCAGCCCAAUGGGAGUACUUCCUCCCUCCCCUAUUUGGGGUAAGGUGGGGGCAGGGUGAACCCAGUGAAUGGGGGCGGGGGGGCAUGGCACACGAUCUCUA